CGUACACUUACAUUGUACCGCCAACAUAUAAUUUUAACGCUACAACUAUCCAAGAUUACAGUUAAUUGUGACAAUUACACAAUGGGGAUUGAUAUUUGUAUCGGAAACCAUUGCGUCGGUGUUUACAGAAAGCUAAAUCCUAAACCAAUUUGGUUUUGGAUACGCAUACUUUCGGUUGUCAUAGUGAUACUAUUGCUCCUUAUAUUAUUUGUACCAGACCUUACUGAAAGGAUUAAGAAUGCAUUAAUCAAAAGACCAACAGAAGAUUGUUCAAGUGAAAACGUUGCCAAUAAAAAUAAUGUUAAGAGAAGGGAAUAUAAUUGUCUGGAGAAAAGUAAUAAAAAGCAAAACCGAGGAGUCGAUUACGAAAAUGAAUAUAUUUCUGAGGAAAACAACUUUGACUCGGAUGAAAAUGAACAGCAAAAACCAUCAGGAGAUAUAGAAAAAAGAAAAAGGUCUACAGGAACAGCAUACACGAAACGAAGUGCAGCACCGUUAAAUAUACAAAUAUUCUUUUAGAAAUUAUAUAAAACAACUUUCAGAAAUUCACAUUAUGUUCAAA